rnacentral:tRNA from 1 species
GCGGAUGUAGCUCAGUGGGAAGAGCGCGGCCACGCCAUGGCCGAGGCCACGAGUUCGAGACUCGUCAUCCGCUCCA